GGAAGGAGUCGGGCGACCCGUCGGUGAACUGGUAGCGCGAUCCGACCUUUCCCCCGAGGCCCGAGGGACAGGUCGGCCUCACCUCUCACCUCGUUCCGCAGCGGGUCCAAUUUGUAGACAGUCUGGAGUUGGUUACGGAGCCGCAUCGCGUUCGCCAUCGGAGCGUCAACCGCCAUCGUCCCCCACGAGCCCGGGACACGUCAUCACGUCGCCCAACGUCACCGCGCGGGACAAGAGCACAGAGCAAUGUGCAUUGUAGCUUCAGUUCAAACAUGGACGAAAAGAGCGGAAUUCCAGCGCCCAACAUUCCUGUACAAUCUGGCGAGAGCAAGCACCACUCCCGAAAGGACUCCACGCUGCAUUCCACAGAUAGGGUUUGCUGGGCUGGCCCGGUUCUGGUGGCCACAAGUCAGACUGGAGAGUUCUGCUGUUUGCUUUUCACAUGCUUGAGCACACACUCGAGGGCUCGACCCGUGUGCUUUCGAAGAUCACCUUCAGCAACGAAACCAAACUAGGGCAAAGUUAAUAGCCCCGAGUAAAAGACCGCCCGGCGUUAACAGCAGUGAACACCUUCAGCAAACUCGACUGCGCAUGGGCCCAAGCAGCUCAGAGGGUGGUCCGGUUUCCUCCCACAAUCCAAAAAUGUGCAGGUUAGGUGAAUUGGCCAUGCUAA